UACGAGGGAUCCUAGCGUUGUUCGGAAUCAUUGGGCGUAAAGGGUGCGUAGGCGGCCAAGUAAGUCAGUUGUGAAAGCCCCGGGCUCAACCCGGGAAGUGCUUCUGAUACUGCUUGGCUUGAGUAUUGGAGAGGUGAGUGGAAUUCCAGGUGUAGUGGUGAAAUACGUAGAUAUCUGGAGGAACACCGGCGGCGAAGGCGGCCAACUGGACGAAUACUGACGCUGAGACUCGAAAGCGUGGGGAGCAAACAGG
rnacentral:rRNA from 1 species